GAUGAGCUCGACGCCUCUCCGACCAUACCCCUCCCUCACUUCUCUCGAUCUUCAGUCGCCAUGGAACCCUCAUCAUCGUUGCUCACCUCUGAAGUUUUGAAACAUCAGAAGCUUCCGCCAUGUAAGGCGGUUACUAAAGCCUUUGCCUGGGUCAGUUUUCGGCCUUUCCCUUGUGGAUUUUGCUUGAUGAUGCUUGAAUAUUGAUGUUAUACGAGUUUCACGGCCAGGUUCUUUGUUUUUCCUAAUUUGUGUACAAACCCUAAAUUUUCUACUCAAACCUCUUUAAUCUCUGCUCUUUUAAAACGAUUCUAAGUAUGAUUUCAUCUUCUACUAUAUUUUUACUUAGUAUUUCCGUUUAUUUCAAACUUCAGAGG
rnacentral:lncRNA from 1 species